GCCUUGGUAGCUCAUUUGGUAGAGUGUAAGACUCUUACAGUCCCUCUGACUGGGUAAGAGUCUUAAGGUUGCAGGUUCAAUUCCUGUCUAAGGCU